rnacentral:lncRNA from 1 species
UAUAUGCAAGUCAUUGUAGGGCCUGCAAAAAAUUAAAAGUUUGAAGGAAGGUGACUUCAUGCUGCAUGGAGCUAAUGGAGAAUCCAUUCAAGCAGAAGCAGUUGGCAUCUAUUAUUUGUUUGUAUCUACAGGCAAAACUAUUGUAUUAAGAGAUUGUUAUCAUAUGUCUAAUAUAAUUAAAAAUAUUAUUUCUGUACCAAUAUUUUUAAGACAUGGUUAUGAAAUAAAGGCGA